AACGUAGGAGCCAAGCGUUAUCCGAAUUCACUGGGCGUAAAGCGCGUGCAGGCGGAACUGUAAGUUGGAUGUAAAAUCUCCCGGCUCAACUGGGAGAGGCCGUUCAAUACUGCAGGUCUAGAGGGCGACAGAGGGAGGUGGAAUUCCGGGUGUAGUGGUGAAAUGCGUAGAUAUCCGGAGGAACACCAGAGGCGAAGGCGACCUCCUGGGUCGCACCUGACGCUGAGAUGCGAAAGCUAGGGGAGCGAACGGG
rnacentral:rRNA from 1 species